GACGAACGCUGGCGGCGUGCUUAACACAUGCAAGUCGAACGGUAAGGCCCUUCGGGGUACACGAGUGGCGAACGGGUGAGUAACACGUGGGUGAUCUGCCCUGCACUUCGGGAUAAGCCUGGGAAACUGGGUCUAAUACCGGAUAGGACCCUGGGAUGCAUGUCCUGGGGUGGAAAGCUUUUGCGGUGUGGGAUGGGCCCGCGGCCUAUCAGCUUGUUGGUGGGGUGAUGGCCUACCAAGGCGACGACGGGUGGCCGGCCUGAGAGGGUGACCGGCCACACUGGGACUGAGAUACGGCCCAGACUCCUCCGGGAGGCAGCAGUGGGGAAUAUUGCACAAUGGGCGCAAGCCUGAUGCAGCGACGCCGCGUGAGGGAUGACGGCCUUCGGGUUGUAAACCUCUUUCAGCACCGACGAAGCGCAAGUGACGGUAGGUGCAGAAGAAGGACCGGCCAACUACGUGCCAGCAGCCGCAGUAA
rnacentral:rRNA from 1 species